GAAGAGAAUCUCCUCCUUGGCCCUCUUCUUCUUUUCCCUUCCUUUCUCUUUUUUUUCUUCUCUUCUCUUUUCUCUUUUCUUUCUCUUUCUCUUCUUCUCUUCUCUUUUCUUUUUUCUUUCUCUUCGCACGAUUAGAGGGAGAGGGAGAGGCUGAGGGAGUGAGAGAGAGAGAGGAAAUGAUCUCUCUCUAAUACUCUCUCUCAUUUUGUAACAAAAUGCUAAGAAGCCCCUCAACUUUUCAUCUC
rnacentral:lncRNA from 1 species